rnacentral:rRNA from 1 species
GACGAACGCUGGCGGCGUGGAUUAGGCAUGCAAGUCGAACGGUAUCAUCCUUUCGGGGGUGAGAGAGUGGCGAACUGGUGAGUAACACGUAGGUUAUCUACCCUCAAGACGGGGACAACCCAGGGAAACUUGGGCUAAUACCGGAUGUGAGCAACUUUUAGUUGUUUGAAAGGUGGCGUAAGCUGUCGCUUGGGGAUGAGCCUGCGUCCUAUUAGUUAGUUGGUGAGGUAACGGCUCACCUAGGCAAUGAUAGGUAGGCGGCCUUAACGGGUGGUCGCCCACACUGGGAUUGAGAUACGGCCCAGACUCCUACGGGAGCAGCAGUCGAGAAUAGUCUACAAUGGUCGGAAGACUGAUAGUGCGACGCCGCGUGAACGAUGAAUCCCUUCGGGGUUAAAGUUCUUUUAUAUGUGAGCAGUGCUUCUUAUAUUAACAGUAUGGGGAGAGAGAUAUUAGCAUAUGAAUAAGCAACGGCUAACUCCGUGCCAGCAGCCGGGUAAA